rnacentral:rRNA from 1 species
AUGGAGGCCACUGUAUGUGCAACACAUGGGGCCAUGGGUUCUGUGCUACGGAAGCUGGGUGCUUUGCUCUCUGAUGAAUAUAAACUUCUCACCAGUGUGAAGGGUGAUAUCAUGUUCCUUAAAGCUGAGCUUGAGAGCAUUCAUGCUUUCCUGAAGAAGAUAUCCGAGUUUGAGGACCCUGAUGAGCUGUCCAAGUGCUGGAUUAAGGCAGUGCGGGAGCUGUCCUACGACAUCGAGGGUGGCAUUGACAGUUUCAUGCUGUCCCUGGGUGCCGAGUCCAGCCGCAAAUCCCGUGGCUGCAAGGGACUCCUGAGCAGGUGCAUGGAUUUAAUGACAAAUUCCAAGACACGCCAUCGGAUGGCCAAGAAAAUCAAAGUUCUCAAACAAAGAGCUAUUGAGGUUAGUAGUCGGCGUGUGAGGUACAAGGUUGAUGAUGUUUUCUCCAGGCCGAGUAGGACAAGCAUAGAUCCCCGCUUACCAGCAUUUUUCAUGGAGAUGACGAGGCUCAUUGGCAUCGAUGGCCCAAGGGAUAAACUCAUCAAGUUGCUAACAGAAGGGGAAUGUUCAACGGCGCAGCAGCUAAAGGUGGUGUCCAUUGUUGGAUUUGGAGGCCUUGGAAAGACUACUCUCGCUAAUCAAGUGUACCAGAAGCUCGAAGGGCAAUUUGAAUAUCAAGCUUUCGUGUCGGUGUCCCAAAAACCUGAUCUGAAGAAGAUUUUGAGAAAUAUACUCUCUCAGAUCUGCUGGCAAGAGUGCACCAGCAAUGAAGCAUGGGAUGAGCAGCAACUCAUCAACAAAAUAAGACAGUUCCUCAGGCAUAAAAGGUACUUCAUAGUAAUCGAUGAUAUAUGGGGCACACCAGUAUGGAGAACAAUCAAAUGUGCUUUUCCUGAAAAUAAUUCAUCCAGCAGAAUACUUACAACAACGCGUAUCAUCACCGUAGCCAAGUAUUGCAGCUCUCAGCACCAUGAUCGUGUGUAUGAAAUAAAGCCUCUUAGUGCAACUCACUCUAAGAGCUUAUUUUUCAAACGAGCGUUUGGCUCUGAAGGUGGAUGCCCUCUUCAACUGAGGGAAGUUUCAGAUGAAAUAUUAAAAAAAUGUGGUGGCGUGCCAUUGGCGAUCAUUACAGUAGCUAGCUUAUUGGCAAAUAAAGCUAGUACCAAAGAAGAAUGGCUGAGGAUACGGAAUUCUAUUGGUUCAGCACUUGAAAAGGAUUUAGACAUGGAAGAGAUGAAAAAAAUAUUGUUCCUUAGUUACAAUGAUCUCCCCUACCAUUUGAAGACAUGUUUGCUAUAUCUAAGUAUAUUCCCUGAAGAUUAUGAGAUCAAGAGGGAUCGGCUGGUAAGGAGAUGGAUUGCUGAAGGUUUCAUCAAUCCAGCAGGUGGACAGGAUCUGGAGGAAGUAGGAGAAGGCUAUUUCAUUGAGCUGAUCAACAGAAGCUUGAUUGAACCAGUUGAAAUCCAGUAUGAUGGUCGAGCUGAUGCUUGCCGUGUCCAUGAUAUGAUUCUUGACCUAAUAAUAUCCAAGUCAAUUGAAGAAAAUUUUGUGACAUUUUCUGGUGAUAAAAAACUCAACUCAUUGCCGUAUGAUAAGGUUCGUCGACUAUCCCUGAACUAUCAUGCUCAAGAACAUAUUAUGGUACCAUCAAACAUGAUUGUCUCUCAUGUUCGAUCCCUCACUAUCUUUGGAUGUGCUGAAGCUGAACAUAUGCUUUCUCUUUCAAAGUUUCAUUCCGUAAGAGUGCUGGAUCUAGAAAAUAGAGAGGUUUUGGAACACAAUUAUCUUAAACACAUAAGCAGGCUUUCUCAGCUGAAGUAUCUGCGACUCGAUGUAAGAAGAAUCACCGCACUUCCUGAACAAUUAGGAGAGUUGCAGAAUUUACAGACCUUAGACUUAAGAUGGACAUGGGUAAAAAAGUUGCCAGUGAAUAUUGUUCAACUACAGAAGCUGGCAUGUUUAUUGGUUAAUUGUACAGAGUUACCUGAAAGGAUUGGGAAUAUGCAAGCUCUUCGGGAACUAUCAGAGGUUGAGAUCAAUCAGAACACCUCUCCGUCUUCUUUGCAGGAGUUGGGCACACUGACCAAACUAAGGAUACUUGGUCUGAACCUGAAUUGGCACAUAAGUAAUACAAAUGGUGGCAUGAAAGCUUAUACAGAUAACUUGGUCAUGUCCCUCUGCAAACUAGGCAUGCUCAACCUUCGAACCAUACAAAUUCAAAGCUACAAUUUCUGUUCCCUUGAUUUCUUACUUGACUCUUGGUUUCCUCCUCCUCGUCUGCUACAGAGAUUUGAGAUCUCUACAGAAUACUAUUUCCCCAGAAUCCCAAAGUGGGUAGCCUCACUUGACCACCUCUCUUACCUAGGCAUCUACGUUGAUCCAGUGGAUGAGGAAACAUUCCGAAUCCUUGGGGACCUUCCAUCUCUAUUAUUUCUCUGGAUAUCUUAA